GUCUCCUACGGGGGGCAGCAGUGGGGGAUAUUGCACAAUGGGGGAAACCCUGAUGCAGCGACGCCGCGUGUGGGAAGACGGUCCUCUGGAUUGUAAACCACUGUCCCCAGGGACGAAGAUGACGGUACCUGGGGAGGAAGCUCCGGCUGACUACGUGCCAGCAGCCGCGGUAAUACGUAGGGAGCAAGCGUUGUCCGGAAUUACUGGGUGUAACGGGAGCGUAGGCGGGAUGGCAAGUUGGGUGUUAACUCUACCGGCUCAACUGGUAGUUGCAGUC
rnacentral:rRNA from 1 species